AGCGAACGCUGGCGGCAGGCCUAACACAUGCAAGUCGAACGAACUCUUCGGAGUUAGUGGCGGACGGGUGAGUAACACGUGGGAACGUGCCUUUUGGUUCGGAAUAACUCAGGGAAACUUGUGCUAAUACCGAAUGUGCCCUUCGGGGGAAAGAUUUAUCGCCAUUAGAGCGGCCCGCGUCUGAUUAGCUAGUUGGUGAGGUAACGGCUCACCAAGGCGACGAUCAGUAGCUGGUCUGAGAGGAUGACCAGCCACAAUGGGACUGAGACACGGCCCAGACUCCUACGGGAGGCAGCAGUGGGGAAUCUUGCGCAAUGGGCGAAAGCCUGACGCAGCCAUGCCGCGUGAAUGAUGAAGGUCUUAGGAUUGUAAAAUUCUUUCACCGGGGACGAUAAUGACGGUACCCGGAGAAGAAGCCCCGGCUAACUUCGUG
rnacentral:rRNA from 1 species